GGAAGGGUGGUCCUGUGGUUAGGACACUAGACUGGGACUCGGGAAACCAGGAUCCAUUUCUUGCUCUGCCA
rnacentral:tRNA from 1 species